CUCAGGACGACGCUGGCGGCGUGCCUAAUACAUGCAAGUCGAACGGUCUUUUCUAUGGAAGCUUGCUUCCACUGAGAAGAUAGUGGCGAACGGGUGAGUAACACGUGGGUAACCUGCCCAUAAGAGGGGGAUAACAUCCGGAAACGGGUGCUAAUACCGCAUAGUUUUCUUGAUCGCAUGAUUGAGAAAGGAAAGACGGCCUUUGUGCUGUCGCUUAUGGAUGGACCCGCGGCGUAUUAGUUAGUUGGUGAGGUAACGGCUCACCAAGACGAUGAUACGUAGCCGACCUGAGAGGGUGAUCGGCCACAUUGGGACUGAGACACGGCCCAAACUCCUACGGGAGGCAGCAGUAGGGAAUCUUCCGCAAUGGACGAAAGUCUGACGGAGCAACGCCGCGUGAGUGAAGAAAGGUUUUCGGAUCGUAAAACUCUGUUGUCAGAGAAGAACAAGUUGGAGAGUAACUGCUCCAGCCUUGACGGUAUCUGACCAGAAAGCCACGGCUAACUACGUGCCAGCCGCUGC
rnacentral:rRNA from 1 species